rnacentral:rRNA from 1 species
UUCGGUGGCGACCGGCGCACGGGUGAGUAACGCGUAUGCGAACCUACCUAUACGAGAAGGGGAAUAACCCGGCGAAAGUCGGACUAAUACCGCAUAAAACAGGGGCACCGCAUGGUGAUAUUUGUUAAAGAAAUUCGCUGAUAGAUGGGCAUGCGUUCCAUUAGGUAGUUGGUGAGGUAACGGCUCACCAAGCCGACGAUGGAUAGGGGAACUGAGAGGUUGGUCCCCCACACUGGUACUGAGACACGGACCAGACUCCUACGGGAGGCAGCAGUGAGGAAUAUUGGUCAAUGGGCGGGGGCCUGAACCAGCCAAGUCGCGUGAAGGAAGAAGGAUCUAUGGUUCGUAAACUUCUUUUGCAGGGGAAUAAAGUGCAGGACGUGUCCUGUUUUGUAUGUACCCUGAGAAUAAGGAUCGGCUAACUCCGUGCCAGCCGCAGC